rnacentral:rRNA from 1 species
GCGCACCAGGCGCGAAAACUUCACAAUGUGCGAAAGCACGAUGAGGGAAUCCCAAGUGCUUGCACGUAAGUGUAAGCUGUUUCUCUGUCUAAAACGCAGAGAGAGUAAGGGCUGGGUAAGACGGGUGCCAGCCGCCGCGGUAAUACCUGCAGCUCGAGUGGUGACCGUUAUUAUUGGGCCUAAAACGUCCGUAGCCGGUUUAAUAAAUGCCUGGGUAAAUCGGACCGCUUAACGGUUCGAAUUCCGGGUAGACUGUUAAACUUGAGACCGGGAGAAGUUAGAGGUACUCCUGGGGUAGAGGUGAAAUUCUGUAAUCCUAGGGGGACCACCAGUGGCGAAGGCGUCUAACUAGAACGGGUCUGACGGUGAGGGACGAAGCCCUGGGGCGCAAACGGGAUUAGAUACCCGGGUAGU